rnacentral:rRNA from 1 species
UACGGAGGGUGCUAGCGUUGUUCGGAAUUACUGGGCGUAAAGCGCGCGUAGGCGGACCUGCAAGUCGGGGGUGAAAGCCCGAGGCUCAACCUCGGAACUGCCUUCGAUACUGCGGGUCUCGAGUCCGGGAGAGGUGAGUGGAAUUCCUAGUGUAGAGGUGAAAUUCGUAGAUAUUAGGAAGAACACCAGUGGCGAAGGCGGCUCACUGGUCCGGUACUGACGCUGAGGUGCGAAAGCGUGGGGAGCAAACAGG